rnacentral:rRNA from 1 species
GACGAACGCUGGCGGCGUGCUUAACACAUGCAAGUCGAACGGUGAAGCGAGUGCUUGCACUCGUUGAUCAGUGGCGAACGGGUGAGUAACACGUGAGUAACCUGCCCAUCACUCUGGGAUAAGCACUGGAAACGGUGUCUAAUACUGGAUACGACCAACCCUUGCAUGGGGUGUUGGUGGAAAGAUUUAUCGGUGAUGGAUGGACUCGAGGCCUAUCAGCUUGUUGGCGGGGUAAUGGCCCACCAAGGCGACGACGGGUAGCCGGCCUGAGAGGGUGACCGGCCACACGGGGACUAAGACAGGGCCCAGACUCCUACGGGAGGCAGCAGUGGGGAAUAUGACACAAUGGGCGAAAGCCUGAUGCAGCGACGCCGCGUGAGGGAUGACGGCCUUCGGGUUGUAAACCUCUGUCAGCAGAGAAGAAGCGAAAGUGACGGUACCUGCAGAAGAAGCACCGGCUAACUACGUG